UCCGUAGGCGGUGUGGCAAGUCGGUAGUGAAAUCUCUCGGCUUAACUGAGAGGCUGCUGCCGAAACUGCCAUGCUCGAGUGCGAGAGAGGCGAGUGGAAUUGCGGGUGUAGCGGUGAAAUGCGUAGAUAUCCGCAGGAACAUCCGAGGCGAAAGCGGCUCGCUGGAUCGCAACUGACGCUGAGGGACGAAAGCUAGGGGAGCAAACAGGAUUAGAUAACCCUGGUAGUCCUAGCCCUAAACCAUCAGGACUUGGGGUUUGCCCUGUACGGGGCAAGUCCCGGAGCUAACGCGUUAAGUCCUGCGCCUGGGGAGUACGGUCGCAAGGCUGAAA
rnacentral:rRNA from 1 species